rnacentral:rRNA from 1 species
UACGGAGGAUGCGAGCGUUAUCCGGAUUUAUUGGGUUUAAAGGGUGCGCAGGCGGACUUUUAAGUCAGCGGUCAAAUCGUGGGGCUCAACCCCAUCCAGCCGUUGAAACUGGGGAUCUAGAGUGUGCGAGAGGUAUGCGGAAUGCGUGGUGUAGCGGUGAAAUGCAUAGAUAUCACGCAGAACCCCGAUUGCGAAGGCAGCAUACCGGUGCACAGCUGACGCUCAGGCACGAAAGCGUGGGUAUCGAACAGG